CCUUCUCUCAAAAUUCUCUCAAGCUCACUCUCAAACUCUCACCUCUCUAUCUCAUCAACGCCGACCCAACUCGAUCCUCGUUGGCACCGCCCACCAAACCACCGAAGCUCGACGUCACCGACCCACCAGCAGACCCACUUCUUCAAACUCCCAAGUCAUCGAUUAGCCUCAGGCCCACGCCGCCAAUCUGCAUCAGACCCAUGCUACCAAUCCACUUCUCUGAUGCUCUAAACUCUGAAACUCUCAUCUCUAAACUCUCACCUCUCUGUCCCGCUGCCGCCAUCGCCGAUCGACGCCUCUGACCCGACUCGCCUUCAGUGUUUACAUUUGUUAACAUUAGAUUAUUAUUUGCUAUCAUGUGGCGGCGGCAGUAGUAGCAGCGGCAGCAAUUAUAGUGGCGGUAGAAGAGUCGAUGGCAGCGGUGGUAGUGGUAGCAGUAGCAGUUGUGGUUGCGGGUAGUUGUGAUUGUUGUUUAUUGUAGUGAAUAUAUGAUUUUAUUGUAAUGGAUAUAUUAUUUUAUUAUGAUGUUUAUAUUA